rnacentral:tRNA from 1 species
GAGGGUAUAGCUCAGUGGUAGAGCACAUGCUUAGCAUGCACAAGGUCCUGAGUUCAAUCCCCAGUACCUCCA